rnacentral:rRNA from 1 species
UACGUAGGCAGCGAGCGUUGUUCGGAGUUACUGGGCGUAAAGCGCACGUAGGCGGCUUUGUAAGUUAGAGGUGAAAGCCCGGGGCUCAACUCCGGAAUUGCCUUUAAGACUGCAUCGCUAGAAUUGUGGAGAGGUAAGUGGAAUUCCGAGUGUAGAGGUGAAAUUCGUAGAUAUUCGGAAGAACACCAGUGGCGAAGGCGGCUCACUGGACCGGUUCUGACGCUGAGGCGCGAAAGCGUGGGGAGCAAACGGG